CGCGGAGGCUAACACAUGCCAGUCGNUACGGUACAGAGAGUAGCUUGCUACUUUGCUGACGAGCGGCGGACGGGUGAGUAAUGCUUGGGAAUAUGCCUUUUGGUGGGGGACAACAGUUGGAAACGACUGCUAAUACCGCAUGAUGUCUACGGACCAAAGUGGGGGACCUUCGGGCCUCACGCCAAAAGAUUAGCCCAAGUGGGAUUAGCUAGUUGGUAAGGUAAUGGCUUACCAAGGCAACGAUCCCUAGCUGGUUUGAGAGGAUGAUCAGCCACACUGGGACUGAGACACGGCCCAGACUCCUACGGGAGGCAGCAGUGGGGAAUAUUGCACAAUGGGCGCAAGCCUGAUGCAGCCAUGCCGCGUGUGUGAAGAAGGCCUUCGGGUUGUAAAGCACUUUCAGUCAGGAGGAAAGGGUGUGUUUUAAUAGAGCAUAUCUGUGACGUUACUGACAGAAGAAGCACCGGCUAACUCCGUGCCAGCAGCCGCGGUAAUACGGAGGGUGCGAGCGUUAAUCGGAAUUACUGGGCGUAAAGCGUACGCAGGCGGUUUGUUAAGCGAGAUGUGAAAGCCCCGGGCUCAACCUGGGAACUGCAUUUCGAACUGGCAAACUAAGUGUGAUAGAGGGUGGUAGAAUUUCAGGUGUACGGUUAAUUGGCGUAAGAAUCUGAAGGAU
rnacentral:rRNA from 1 species